GACGAACGCUGGCGGCGUGCCUAAUACAUGCAAGUAGAACGCACAGUUUAUACCGUAGCUUGCUACACCAUAGACUGUGAGUUGCGAACGGGUGAGUAACGCGUAGGUAACCUGCCUGGUAGCGGGGGAUAACUAUUGGAAACGAUAGCUAAUACCGCAUAAUAUUGAUUAUUGCAUGAUAAUUGAUUGAAAGAUGCUAUUGCAUCACUACCAGAUGGACCUGCGUUGUAUUAGCUAGUAGGUGAGGUAACGGCUCACCUAGGCGACGAUACAUAGCCGACCUGAGAGGGUGAUCGGCCACACUGGGACUGAGACACGGCCCAGACUCCUACGGGAGGCAGCAGUAGGGAACCUUCGGCAAUGGACGAAAGUCUGACCGAGCAACGCCGCGUGAGUGAAGAAGGUUUUCGGAUCGUAAAGCUCUGUUGUAAGAGAAGAACGGGUGUGAGAGUGGAAAGUUCACACUGUGACGGUAUCUUACCAGAAAGGGACGGCUAACUACGUG
rnacentral:rRNA from 1 species